rnacentral:rRNA from 1 species
AGCGAACGCUGGCGGCAGGCCUAACACAUGCAAGUCGAACGGCUCUUCGGAGCAGUGGCGGACGGGUGAGUAACGCGUGGGAACGUGCCCUUUGGUUCGGAACAACACAGGGAAACUUGUGCUAAUACCGGAUGUGCCCUUCGGGGGAAAGAUUUAUCGCCAUUGGAGCGGCCCGCGUUGGAUUAGGUAGUUGGUGGGGUAAAGGCCCACCAAGCCGACGAUCCAUAGCUGGUCUGAGAGGAUGAUCAGCCACACUGGGACUGAGACACGGCCCAGACUCCUACGGGAGGCAGCAGUGGGGAAUCUUGCGCAAUGGGCGAAAGCCUGACGCAGCCAUGCCGCGUGAAUGAUGAAGGUCUUAGGAUUGUAAAAUUCUUUCACCGGGGAAGAUAAUGACGGUACCCGGAGAAGAAGCCCCGGCUAACUUCGUGCCAGCCGCCACAGUAACAC